CCCCGCCCCUAAUGCAACUGACUAAAAAUAAGUUCUGACUUUGCUGACUAUAGCAAGUCAUGGCUGAUCAAGCAAAAAACUUUAUAUUAUAUGUAGGCUAAUUAUUUAUAUAUUUAAUGUCUUAAUAAAAUAUAUCAUGAAUAAUUAAUUCUAACGGAAACAAAACACGAUACAUCACAACUACUAAAACAAAACAUAUCCUAGCAAAGUUUCUAUUUUGCUUAAUGCAUUAAGGCAGGUUAUAAACGCAUUGUUAAAUACAUUCAUCAUAGCUAACACUAAGGAAGAAUCCAGUUCAGAAAGGUGCACUGGAGAACACUGUCUGCCGGAAAUUGCUUUAUAGCCAGCCAAUCAGAAUGGGAUGGCCAAUUUUUGGAUGCUGAGACUAGUUACAACAUACUAAAGAGCUAAAGAUCUGCUGACAGACUCUGAAAGUCUCCAGAAG
ensembl:lncRNA